AGAGCACGUCUUGGCCGCCGCCAGAAAGAGGAGGCAGAAAGGGUCAUAUGCAUCACUUGAUAUCGGAUUACUCCACAAUUGAUGGAUUGCCACUGAAUUGUGCACAGUCAAUUGAAAGGCAUUAUGUUGAAGUAAGAAGAGGCGAUAAAGUGAGAGCUUGAUGCACUUGAACAUCAGGAAUGCUGCAUGAACAUUGGAGGACUUGGCCAAGGUGUACCUUGGGCUGGAGGAGUUACAGCUAGACUUCUCACUGUGGACAGUCAUGAGGGAAACAGGUGGCCAAGGAUGGGCAGUCCAAGAUUAGCUCAGCCUGUGCCAGGCUAACAGGUUGUUCACCCUGAAGAGCCACACCGGAGUCAGCGGCAUUACAGAACCAGUGCAUAGAGGCUGUGGGCUGCCCAGAUGACAAGACCCCACACCCGGCCUCACAGAUGUGGUCUAAAGGAAAGCAGAGCAAUACGUUUGACACCAGCUUGGCUGCCAGAGUUGCCAAAAGGAUGCUAAUAAGGUGCCGUCCAACCAUCUUAGGGACUCUCACUCUAUGGGACUACCAGUUUAAAUAUAAAGCUUCUGGGGAGCUAUCUUGGAGUUUUCUAUUGCCAGGAUCUUUAACCCUUUGUAAACACAAUGUUAUCUUUAUAGGAGCAGCAUGUACAUGAUAACUGCAAGAAAUGAAGUUGGCUGUCGUUUCUUUGACAAACGAUGCAAGAAAAUGAAUAAACAACACUGAUGCA